AGAGUUUGAUCCUGGCUCAGGAUGAACGCUAGCUACAGGCUUAACACAUGCAAGUCGAGGGGCAGCAUGGUCUUAGCUUGCUAAGGCCGAUGGCGACCGGCGCACGGGUGAGUAACACGUAUCCAACCUGCCGUCUACUCUUGGACAGCCUUCUGAAAGGAAGAUUAAUACAAGAUGGCAUCAUGAGUCCGCAUGUUCACAUGAUUAAAGGUAUUCCGGUAGACGAUGGGGAUGCGUUCCAUUAGAUAGUAGGCGGGGUAACGGCCCACCUAGUCUUCGAUGGAUAGGGGUUCUGAGAGGAAGGUCCCCCACAUUGGAACUGAGACACGGUCCAAACUCCUACGGGAGGCAGCAGUGAGGAAUAUUGGUCAAUGGGCGAGAGCCUGAACCAGCCAAGUAGCGUGAAGGAUGACUGCCCUAUGGGUUGUAAACUUCUUUUAUAAAGGAAUAAAGUCGGGUAUGGAUACCCGUUUGCAUGUACUUUAUGAAUAAGGAUCGGCUAACUCCGUGCCAGCAGCCGCGGUAAUACGGAGGAUCCGAGCGUUAUCCGGAUUUAUUGGGUUUAAAGGGAGCGUAGAUGGAUGUUUAAGUCAGUUGUGAAAGUUUGCGGCUCAACCGUAAAAUUGCAGUUGAUACUGGAUAUCUUGAGUGCAGUUGAGGCAGGCGGAAUUCGUGGUGUAGCGGUGAAAUGCUUAGAUAUCACGAAGAACUCCGAUUGCGAAGGCAGCCUGCUAAGCUGCAACUGACAUUGAGGCUCGAAAGUGUGGGUAUCAAACAGGAUUAGAUACCCUGGUAGUCCACACGGUAAACGAUGAAUACUCGCUGUUUGCGAUAUACAGCAAGCGGCCAAGCGAAAGCGUUAAGUAUUCCACCUGGGGAGUACGCCGGCAACGGUGAAACUCAAAGGAAUUGACGGGGGCCCGCACAAGCGGAGGAACAUGUGGUUUAAUUCGAUGAUACGCGAGGAACCUUACCCGGGCUUAAAUUGCAGAUGAAUUACGGUGAAAGCCGUAAGCCGCAAGGCAUCUGUGAAGGUGCUGCAUGGUUGUCGUCAGCUCGUGCCGUGAGGUGUCGGCUUAAGUGCCAUAACGAGCGCAACCCUUAUCUUCAGUUACUAACAGGUCAUGCUGAGGACUCUGGAGAGACUGCCGUCGUAAGAUGUGAGGAAGGUGGGGAUGACGUCAAAUCAGCACGGCCCUUACGUCCGGGGCUACACACGUGUUACAAUGGGGGGUACAGAAGGCAGCUACCUGGUGACAGGAUGCUAAUCCCAAAAACCUCUCUCAGUUCGGAUCGAAGUCUGCAACCCGACUUCGUGAAGCUGGAUUCGCUAGUAAUCGCGCAUCAGCCA
rnacentral:rRNA from 1 species